rnacentral:rRNA from 1 species
UACGUAGGGCGCAAGCGUUGUCCGGAAUUAUUGGGCGUAAAGCGCGCGUAGGCGGCUCGGCAAGUCGGUCGUGAAAUGCCGGGGCUCAACCCCGGGACUGCGUCCGAUACUCCCGAGCUGGAGGCAGGUAGGGGAGAUCGGAAUUCCUAGUGUAGCGGUGAAAUGCGCAGAUAUCAGGAGGAACACCGGUGGCGAAGGCGGCUCACUGGACCGUUUCUGACGCUGAGGUGCGAAAGCUAGGGGAGCAAACGGG